rnacentral:misc_RNA from 1 species
CAUUGUGAUGAUCUGCUUGGUGUUGAUGCUGCCAUUGAUACUACUCCACUGUGUCCGUAUCCUGGCAGCAAUGAUGAGAAUAAUGAGAAGCAUCGCAGAGCAGCUACUCAAUGGGAGAACACAAUAACGGAUGUGGGUCAAAGGUUCAGUAGUUUUGCUGAAUUCCGUGAAGCUCUGCAUAAAUACUCAAUUGCCCAUGGAUUCACUUAUAGGUAUAAGAAAAAUGAUAGUCGCAGGGUAACUGCUAAAUGCAAGUCAGAAGGUUGUGCUUGGUCAAUAUAUGCAUCAAAGUUGCCUACCACCG